rnacentral:rRNA from 1 species
GAGACAGGUGCUGCAUGGCUGUCGUCAGCUCGUGUUGUGAAAUGUUGGGUUAAGUCCCGCAACGAGCGCAACCCUUAUCCUUUGUUGCCAGCGAUUCGGUCGGGAACUCAAAGGAGACUGCCGGUGAUAAACCGGAGGAAGGUGGGGAUGACGUCAAGUCAUCAUGGCCCUUACGAGUAGGGCUACACACGUGCUACAAUGGCGCAUACAAAGAGAAGCGACCUCGCGAGAGCAAGCGGACCUCAUAAAGUGCGUCGUAGUCCGGAUCGGAGUCUGCAACUCGACUCCGUGAAGUCGGAAUCGCUAGUAAUCGUGGAUCAGAAUGCCACGGUGAAUACGUUCCCGGGCCUUGUACACACCGCCCGUCACACCAUGGGAGUGGGUUGCAAAAGAAGUAGGUAGCUUAACCUUCGGGAGGGCGCUUACCACUUUGUGAUUCAUGACUGGGGUGAAGUC